rnacentral:misc_RNA from 1 species
UUUCCGUAGGUGAACCUGCGGAAGGAUCAUUAUCGAAAAGCAAUCCGGGGGGGAGGCGACCGGGCGAAGUUUGGUAGAUCGUAGGGAUUGUCGCUGGCCUUUGGAAACGAAGGCAUGUGCACGUUCCGAGUUCUCCUUAGUCCUCCUUUGCCUUUCCUUUGGAAAACCCUUUCUUCACACCCGUGCACCCAUUGUAGGUCUCCGCGAGGGGAUCUAUGUCUUCACAUAAACACUACGUAUGUCUAGGAAUGUAUCUAAAAGCGUCGGACGGCUUGGCUUCGUGCCCGGUCGGCGACGGUAAAGAACCAUAAUACAACUUUCAGCAACGGAUCUCUUGGCUCUC